rnacentral:rRNA from 1 species
UUUUGGAAGUAAAAAAUCGUAACAAGGUCUCCGUUGGUGAACCAGCGGAGGGAUCAUUACCGAGUUUACAACUCCCAAACCCCUGUGAACAUACCACUUGUUGCCUCGGCGGAUCAGCCCGCUCCCGGUAAAACGGGACGGCCCGCCAGAGGACCCCUAAACUCUGUUUCUAUAUGUAACUUCUGAGUAAAACCAUAAAUAAAUCAAAACUUUCAACAACGGAUCUCUUGGUUCUGGCAUCGAUGAAGAACGCAGCAAAAUGCGAUAAGUAAUGUGAAUUGCAGAAUUCAGUGAAUCAUCGAAUCUUUGAACGCACAUUGCGCCCGCCAGUAUUCUGGCGGGCAUGCCUGUUCGAGCGUCAUUUCAACCCUCAAGCACAGCUUGGUGUUGGGACUCGCGUUAAUUCGCGUUCCCCAAAUUGAUUGGCGGUCACGUCGAGCUUCCAUAGCGUAGUAGUAAAACCCUCGUUACUGGUAAUCGUCGCGGCCACGCCGUUAAACCCCAACUUCUGAAUGUGACCUCGGA